rnacentral:rRNA from 1 species
UACGUAGGGGGCGAGCGUUGUCCGGAGUUACUGGGCGUAAAGCGCACGCAGGCGGUCUGCGAAGUUUGGAGUGACAGUUGGUGGCUCAACCACCAAAGUGCUUUGAAAACUGACAGACUUGAGGGCUUCAGAGGGACACGGAAUUCCGGGUGGAGUGGUGAAAUGCGUAGAGAUCCGGAGGAACACCAAAGGCGAAGGCAGUGUCCUGGGGAGUACCUGACGCUCAGGUGCGAAAGCCAGGGGAGCGAACGGG